rnacentral:rRNA from 1 species
AAUCAACGCUGGCGGCGCGCUUAACACAUGCAAGUCGAACGAGAAAGCCGGGGCAACCUGGUGAGUAAAGUGGCGUACGGGUGAGUAACACGUGGGUAAUCCACCCUCUGGUGGGGAAUAACCCUGGGAAACCGGGGCUAAUACCGCAUAAGUCCGGAAGGAGAAAGUCGAAAGACGCCGGAGGAGGAGCCCGCGGCCGAUUAGCUAGUUGGCGGGGUAACGGCCCACCAAGGCAAUGAUCGGUAGCCGGCCUGAGAGGGCACACGGCCACACUGGCACUGAAACACGGGCCAGACUCCUACGGGAGGCAGCAGUGGGGAAUCUUGCACAAUGGGGGAAACCCUGAUGCAGCGACGCCGCGUGAGCGAUGAAGCCCUUCGGGGUGUAAAGCUCUUUCGGCGGGAACGAUAAUGACGGUACCCGAAGAAGAAGCUGCGGCUAACUACGUGCCAGCCGCCGCCGUAAAAC